AACUCAUGAUGUUUCAUUAUGUAAGAGUAGUGGACAGAAGUGAUUUCUGAAACUGCAUGACUGAAGUU